UGGGGAAUAUUGGACAAUGGGCGAAAGCCUGAUCCAGCCAUGCCGCGUGUGUGAAGAAGGUCUUCGGAUUGUAAAGCACUUUAAGUUGGGAGGAAGGGCAGUAACCUAAUACGUUUCUGUCUUGACGUUACCGACAGAAUAAGCACCGGCUAACUCUGUGCCAGCAGCCGCGGUAAUACAGAGGGUGCAAGCGUUAAUCGGAAUUACUGGGCGUAAAGCGCGCGUAGGUGGUUAGUUAAGUUGGAUGUGAAAUCCCCGGGCUCAACCUGGGAACUGCAUUCAAAACUGACUGACUAGAGUAUGGUAGAGGGUGGUGGAAUUUCCUGUGUAGCGGUGAAAUGCGUAGAUAUAGGAAGGAACACCAGUGGCGAAGGCGACCACCUGGACUGAUACUGACACUGAGGUGCGAAAGCGUGGGGAGCAAACAGGAUUAGAUACCCCCGUAGUCCCUGAGCGGGCUGGCAAGGCGCAU
rnacentral:rRNA from 1 species